UUUCCGUAGGUGAACCUGCGGAAGGAUCAUUAUUGUAUAACCGAGGUGCGAGGGCUGUCGCUGACCCGACAGGUCGUGCACGCCCGAGUGCCCUCACACACAUCCAUCUCACCCCUAUUUGCACCACCGCGUGGGUCCCCCUUUGGCUUGUUCGGAGGGGGGCUUACGUUUUCACACAAACUUUGUAUGCAGUGUAGAAUGUAUUUUUUGUUUUUGCGAUCACGCAAUCAAUACAACUUUCAACAACGGAUCUCUUGGCUCUC
rnacentral:misc_RNA from 1 species